CAUUGGUUCCGGGGAUCUUGAGUGUAAACGAGGUAGGCGGAAUGUGACGUGUAGCGGUGAAAUGCUUAGAUAUGUCACAGAACCCCGAUUGCGAAGGCAGCUUACCAGCAUACAACUGACGCUGAGGCACGAAAGCGUGGGUAUCAAACAGGAUUAGAUACCCUGGUAGUCCACGCAGUAAACGAUGAAUACUAGCUGUUGGCGAUAUAAUGUCAGCGGUAAAGCGAAAGUGUUAAGUAUUCCACCUGGGGAGUACGCCGGCAACGGUGAAACUCAAAGGAAUUGACGGGGGCCCGCACAAGCGGAGGAACAUGUGGUUUAAUUCGAUGAUACGCGAGGAACCUUACCCGGGCUUGAAAGUUAGUGAAUGACUUGGAAACAGGUCAGUCCUUCGGGACACGAAACUAGGUGCUGCAUGGUUGUCGUCAGCUCGUGCCGUGAGGUGUCGGCUUAAGUGCCUUAACGAGCGCAACCCUUGCUGUUAGUUGCCAUCAGGUAAUGCUGGGAACUCUAACAGGACUGCUACUGUAAGGUAGAGGAAGGUGGGGAUGACGUCAAAUCAGCACGGCCCUUACGUCCGGGGCGACACACGUGUUACAAUGGUGAGUACAGAGGGUUGCUACCUGGCGACAGGAUGCUAAUCUCAUAAAACUCAUCUCAGUUCGGAUCGGAGUCUGCAACUCGACUCCGUGAAGCUGGAUUCGCUAGUAAUCGCGCAUCAGCCAUGGCGCGAUGAAUACGUUCCCGGGUCUUGUACACAC
rnacentral:rRNA from 1 species